UGAUACUUGGGAGAGAGAGGUGUGAUGUGCUGGGUUUAAACAACCAAAGGUAUGGUAGAAGUUUGCGAACGUGCAAAAGCUAAAAGCCAAAACGUACUACAGCAAAUGUUGGAUUGGAUCCAACUCUCCAUAUACAAAACCCCAUGUCAGUGUGUAGCUGUUGCUAUCUUCUGGCAUAGUAUAAUCUUUUUUUUUUGUUUCAGACAUUGCAUGUACAUGUCUCCGGUCAUUUUUAAUUAAUUAACCGUACAUUUUUCACUCACAUGCAUGCAUGUAGAAUUUCACACGCAUAUGCUUCGCCUAGAGGCAACUGAUAAUUGGUGCCACCGAUGUGGCAAAAGCGACCCCCAAUAUCUUUACAAGCCAAAUGAGCACCAAUUGUAACAUGGGCCUUGUGAAAGGUGAAAAGUUACAAGAGAAAGCUG
rnacentral:lncRNA from 1 species